CUUCCCAAGCCAACGUUCCCAAAAAAAAAUGGAAAGAUGAUCUGUGAUGAAAGAGAAAGAAAGCAAUAGAAAAAACAUGAAGAGCAAAGUUGAAGGACAAAGGCGUGUUAAGGGAAAAGUGGAAAGAAAUUAGGGAUGAUCACUAGCUGCUUGUUCAUUUUGCUUGAAAUUAAAUGAGUAAAUUCUUUGCUGCUUUUUACAUAUAAUUUAUCCUUUAAAUAUAAAAUGUUUCUAAGGCAUGAAAAUUGUUCAUAGUUUACUAAUGAAAAGUAAACUAACUGUUCGUUUUAUUUUUAUUUUUUAUGCUACUUUUGCCUCCCUUUCUUCCUCCAUGUGAAUUCAAGUUUUAAUCGUCAAGAAUUUAUUUCAAGGUAUUCAAACCAAUUUCGAGUUUCUGAUUUUUAUUUUAACUAGGCAUUUUUGUUGUUCUUUUCUGUAUAUUUAUAAAGAAGGUUUUAACAAUCAAUUAAUGGAACUUGAUUCUAAGAUGCAUGACUCAGUCAGGAAUGUUACUGAUCGGCAAAGGUUGAGCCAAUUGCAUCCUCUUCAAAGUAGAAGGUAUGGUUUGGAUUUGUUUUGCCAGCUUUGAAGUGGGUGUUGAACCCUAAUUUUCUCAAUGGUAUGACUCUUCAUUUAAGGAUAUUUUGUCACUAAAUUUUCAUGCUAUUAACUAGUGUAAAUUUAAUCCUCUCUCUGAAUUUGUAUUUGUAGAAGAAUUGGUAUUUAAGGGGUUUAGGGUUUUAGGUUUUUUAGGGGUUUUUUCGUUCAAUGACCCUGAAAUCGACGGAUGCUUCAGGAAUCCAACAAUGGUGGAGCUAUUUGGUGCCGCAUUUUUUCUUCUCUUAAUCGCCAUUUUUACACUCAUCUUUUUUGAUGCUUUCAGACGUCGAUUUAACAACGUGUAUGCUUAUUUUAAACCUAAUUCUCAUUUUUUAAACUACUGAUUCUUCAUUGUUCCGAUUGUUGUUGUUUUUGCAGUCAUGUUGAUGUGCAAGCGAUUUUCAAAGAUUCAAAUUCUCUUAAACCAACUAUUCAGUCACUUUCUUGCAUUUAUUUUUCAAUCUUGUUUUUUUAAUAGGACUAUUUUUGAAUUAGUUACAUUCAAAACUUUUGAUUAAGAUUGAGUUUUCUUAGUGCUUUUUAGUUUUCACAUUGUAAUUAUUUUUCUAAUUGAAGUGGUUUGAAGGAAUCAGAUGGACGAUGUUCUGGUGAUUGGUAAAUUUGUUGCUUCUGUUUCUUCUUUGAAAGUCGUAUCUAAUAUCGUAGCUUUAACUAAUAUCAUACAAACCUACUCCUUCACCUUCUUCACUUUCUUCUUUGAAACUCGUUUCCAUCGAUUCUCUUCGGUAUCUAUUAUCCAUCUCUUAUAACUGUUCAUUUCUUGCAAAAAUGAACAAUUUUUUUUUGUGCAUUGCUGUUAGAUUCCGCUUUCCUUCUUUUUUUUACUUUCAUAUUGCAUUUACUUCUUUUCCUCUGUAAUUCCUUCCUGCUACCCUUUUAAUUCUCCAUAUUUCCUCAUUCUUCUACUCCUUAAUUUCCACUUUAUUCUGCUCAUUUGGAAAUUAGGGAUCAACAAUUGGAAAUUUGUUCUACUCCCUAUUUUCCUCGUGUUAUUCAUCAAUUGGAAAUUAGAGGUUUUUAUUUUCAAUGAUGUCAUUUGAAUUUCUCAUGUUUGGGCCUCCAAUUCAACAAAAAUAGGUUCUUCAUUUCUCAUUUUCUAAGAGUUUUAUACUCAAUUUAUUUCUUAAUAUAAUUAAUACUUUUAUUGGGUUUUGAUGGUUUAUUCCUUUCCUUUUUUCCAAAUCAAUUUGUUGGGUUAAAUGACAGAUAAAGAGGUUUGCUUUGAUCUAUUUGCAUUCGUUGUUUGAUUUUAUAAUCUUUCACAUCUAAAGAUAGAUAUUUCCAGAUCUUCAGUGUUUUGUUGCUUGAAAAUGCUGGUCCAAAAGCAAAAUAUAUUGGUAUACAUUUGAUGAUUGAUAUACUUGGUAUAUUUGUUGCACGAUUGAAGCACGAGUCCGUUCUUUGCUGCAAGGAGAAAUUAUGGGUAGUACUCUUCAUAGUUGUUGCACCAAUGACAUGUUGUCAUGUAGUACUCUUCAUAAUUGUUUUCUUACUUAUUUCAUUAAAAAAUGUUAGUGCGUGUUAAUGAUAAUCUAGGUUCUUUUCGCUUGAUUUUCUGAUGAUAUGAAUGUGUUAAUUUUUAUUUUUUGGUAUGAAAUGUCAACAUUUUUAUUUCUUGAUUGAUAUUUCUAGAAAUGUUGUUUUUAAAUCCUUGACCAUUAAUUUGUUUAACAGUAUUAUCUAUGGAUGCCCUGACUUUAAAUAUGUUGAAUUUAAGCUUUGAAAUUGAAGAAGGUAUACCUGUUUGUUUGUUUUGUUUGUUAAUUUGAAGUUUGUUUUAGGUUAGAACUAGAACUUAAAGGUUAUGCUCAAAAUUUAUAUUGAAUUCAUUAUGGGGUUUUCUUAGGGUUUUUGCUUCUUUCGUGGUUGUAUCACUUGACUAUUACUUUUAUUUGAUUUUUUCGAAGAUUAAUAUAGAGCUUUCCUUUGUUCAAUUUUCAAUUGCGCCCAUCUAGAGUUUUACUUCUAUAAAAAAUAUUUUCAAAUUAAUAUCAAUAUAUAUAUAUAACAAGAAAGAAAGGCAUAAGCUAGGACGGAAACAAAACAAAAGAAAGGCUACCUAUUUAUGCAAAAAACUUCAAGGAGAUGAUUGAUGAUGAGCAUCGCAUUAAUAUGAUUCUGGAAAACCUAUCAGCUGUUGUAAUUAAGCAAAGGAGAAAUUGAUCCAAGAUCGAGUGUUCAUGAGCCCGUUGCUUUAGUUCUCGAGAAACUCGGGUUUAAUUCUUUUUUUCGCAAAUUAGAAUUUGUCACAUGCUUAGUAUGAGAUAACAAAUAAAUGGUACAAAAGAGCAAGGGUGGCAUCAAUAUGCAAUGUUGGUCAAGAAUAUUAAUUUUUAUUUUUAUUUUUGAGUUUUUGGGGCUGAUUUUCAUUAUUAUAAGGGGGAUGAAUUUAGUUUCUAGAAAUCAGCAAGUUCAUUGUAUUUGCUAGAAGAAUUUUAAUACAUGAACUCUAAUUAAUUCAUGAAUUUGUUGACCAACAAAGGGAUGUAUUGACUGAAAUAGGGGAUGUAUUUGAAAGCUUCUAGAAUCUUGUAUUCACCCUAUAUAAAGGAAUGUUUUGUAAUCAAAAAAAUUCAGAUUUUGUUUUAUAAUAUAAACCUUGUGUUUUAUGCAUUGCUUUUCUUCUUGUGUUUGUCCAAAGAAAUAGUAAUUUCAAUUAUCAAUUUGAGUUUAUCUUGAGUGUUAAUUCUUAGGGAAGAUUGAGUGUGUCUUGUCUGUAGUUUAAAACCCCAAAUUAUUGAGUUUGUUUUUGUGAUUUGGCUCUUAUCUAUAUUCUUCUACUAUUCUUUCUUAUCUACUUUCUUCUAUUCUUUUAAAUUAGAAACUUUUAAAUCUAAGUGUGUUCUUCCUAAUCACACUUACAUCAAUUUGAGGUUUAAAAGUUUCUGAUUUAAAAGAAUAGAAGAAAGUAGAUAAGAAAGAAUAGUAGAAGAAUAUAGAUAAGAGCCAAAUCACAAGAACAAACUCAAUGAUUUAGGGUUUUAGGCUAGAGACAAGACACACGCAAUCUCCCCUAAGAAUUAGCACUCAAGACAAACUCAAUGUGAUAAUUGAAAUUACUAUUUCUUUGGACAAACACAAGAAGAAAAACAAUGCAUAAAACACAACGUUUAUAUUAUGAAACAAAAUCUGAAUUUUUUUUUAUUACAAAACAUUCCUUUAUAUUGUGUGAAUACAAGAUUCUAGAAGUUUUCAAAUACAUCCCCCUAUUUCGGUGAAUACAUCUCCCUUUAUUGGUCAACAAAUUCAUAAAUUAAUCAGAGUUCAUGUAUCAAAAUUCUUCUAGCAAAUACAAUGAUCUUGCUGAUUUCUUGAAACUAAAUUCAUCCCUCCUUAUAAUAAUGAAAAUCAUCCCCAAAAACUCAAAAAUAAAAAUAAAAAUUAAUAUUUUGGACCAACAUUGCAUAUUGAUGCCACCCUUGCUCUUUUGUACCAUUUAUUUGUUAUCCCAUACUUAGCAUGUGACAAAUUCUGAUUUGCGAAAAAAAGAAUUAAACCUGAGUUUCUCAAGAAUUAAAGCAACGGGCUCAUAAACACUCGAUCUGGGAUCAUGAUACCAAAUGAUGUAAGUGUGAUUAGGAAGAACACACUUAGAUUUAAAAGUUUCUGAUUUAAAAGAAUAGAAGAAAGUAGAUAAGAAAGAAUAGUAGAAGAAUAUUGAUAAGAGCCAAAUCACAAGAACAAACUCAAUGAUUUGGGGUUUUAGGCUAGAGACAAGACACACUCAAUCUCUCCUAAGAAUUAACACUGAAGACAAACUCAAAGUGAUAAUUGAAAUUACUAUUUCUUUGGACAAACACAAGAAGAAAAAGCAAUGCAUAAAACACAAGGUUUAUAUUAUGAAACAAAAUCUGAAUUUUUUUGAUUACAAUACAUUCCUUUAUAUAGGGUGAAUACAAGAUUCUAGAAGCUUUUAAAUGCAUCCCCCUAGUUUGGUCAAUACAUCUCCCUUUGUUGGUCAACAAAUUCAUGAAUUAAUUAGAGUUCAUGUACUAAAAUUCUUUUAGCAAAUACAAUGAACUUACUGAUUUAUAGAAACUAAAUUCAUGGGUUCCAUGUAGGAUUCAAAGUAAAGUACUCUAAGAUAUAUUGUGUUCAAUAUAGUUACCUGUAGUUAUUGUGCUUCUUUUGCUAUAACCGUUGAUUCUAUAUUGUUUCUUUUCUUUUAAUAGAUGCAUAGUCACAUGUUGUCUUCCUAUUCUUUGCUUGUAUCACUAAUGUCUUAUUAUAAUAAAUUUAUUGAGAUUAAUGAUCUUAGCUUUGUUGCAAUUUUGUGCACUUUCAAACCAAAUAUCAAAGUCACCAGAUUAUCCCAAGGUUCAUUCACCAUCGCUUUUAGGUAGUUUUUAGUGGUUUGACGUGAGCCAAAACACAACAAAUGAUAAUGCAAGAAGGUUGCAUCAUAUCAUUUGGUCGAGUUUUUAAGGUCUUUAAAUCUAAUAUUAUGCGUCAUAAGGAUGCAAAAACAACUCUUUUUAGGCCAAUUUAAGAAAUAACUCAUUUUCGGAGCCAUAACAGUACAUAUCAUGGUGCAAAGAUAUAGUUCUGAUUACUUUAUUUUUGUUUGUUGAAUUAUCUAGAAUAUAUAUAAGCAUUUUCAGCUGUUGUAUUUGAACAUGUUGGAUAGUCAUUGGUACUGUUAGCAAGUAUUUCUAUUUUUAAUCUAUUUGAUUCAGCUGUUGCACUAAAAAUAUUCACUUAUUUUAUCUGUAAUUAGUAAUUUACUAUUCAGAGUUAUGGAUAUAAAUUUGAAGUUUACAACGAACAAUGAUAGUUGUGUAGCUUCUUGAUAUCCCUCCUAUUCAGCUCAAUUGUCCCAUUUGUUUUUUCACACUUGCC